rnacentral:tRNA from 1 species
GGCGGCGUGGCCCGGCCAGUUGUCGGGCAGCAUCGGCCCGGGUAGUUGCGGAUCGUGCAGCACGAUCCGGCGCCA